rnacentral:ncRNA from 1 species
AGUAUUCCCUAUCAUUAAGCUUAUACAUGUAAGCCUCGUCGCACCAGUGAGGUGCCUAUAAAAUCAACCGAAGGCAUAGGCAAGCAUCAGAUACUCCACGAGAAGUCAAUAACGCACCGCACCACCACACCUACACAGGCGCUCAGCAGUAGUUAAUAUUGGGCAAUAAGCGCAAGCUCGACCCAACUAUAAAUGACUUAGGGCCGGUUAACCUCGUGCCAGCUACCGCGGUUAUACGAGCGACCCCAGAGAAUACCAACACGGCGCAAAAAUGACCAGAACAGAUCUAUUACCCUUAAGGAUGAACUAACACCAGCUGUCCAACGCCAACCCACUAGAACCCAUCCACCUUAAGCCACAUGACCAUUUCAGUCAUCAAAGCUAAGAAACAAACUGGGAUUAGAUACCCCACUAUGCUUAGCCUUAACCGCACCCAUCGCCAGAUUAGUACGAGUGACAUCUUAAAAUUCAAAGGACUUGACGGUGGCCCACAUCAGCCUAGAGGAGCCUGUCCCAUAAUCGACAACCCACGAUAACACCUCACCACCCCUUGCCAAUCAGCCUAUAUACCGCCGUCGUCAGCCCGCCUCCCAAGAGACCAGCAGCGGACACAACAGCCCCCACUAAAACGACAGGUCAACGCGUAGCACAUGGAGUGGGCCAAGAUGGGCUACAUUUUCUACUAAGAACAAACGAACGGGUGCAUGAAAACUACCCCGAAGGAGGAUUUAGCAGUAAGACGAACGCAAGACUUCCCGUCUGAACCUAGCACUGGGCCGCGCACACACCGCCCGUCACCCCCAUCAAUUCAUUACCACCACCUUCAUAAACAACCUAACACAUAAAGAUGGGGAAAGUCGUAACAUGGUAAGCGUACUGGAAAGUGCGCUUGUACA